rnacentral:rRNA from 1 species
GACAGAGGGUGCAAACGUUUGUUCGGAAUUACUGGGCGUAAAGCGCGUGUAGGCGGCCCUGCAAGUCGGGUGUGAAAUCCCACGGCUCAACCGUGGAAGUGCACUCGAAACUGCAGGGCUAGAGUCCUGGAGAGGAAGGUGGAAUGCUUGGUGUAGAGGUGAAAUUCGUAGAUAUCAAGCGGAACACCGGUGGCGAAGGCGGCCUUCUGGACAGUGACGU